rnacentral:rRNA from 1 species
GUGGGGAAUAUUGGACAAUGGACCAAGAGUCUGAUCCAGCAAUUCUGUGUGCACGAUGAAGUUUUUCGGAAUGUAAAGUGCUUUCAGUUGGGAAGAAAAAAAUGACGGUACCAACAGAAGAAGUGACGGCUAAAUACGUGCCAGCAGCCGCGGUAAUACGUAUGUCACAAGCGUUAUCCGGAUUUAUUGGGCGUAAAGCGCGUCUAGGUGGUUAUGUAAGUCUGAUGUGAAAAUGCAGGGCUCAACUCUGUAUUGCGUUGGAAACUGUGUAACUAGAGUACUGGAGAGGUAAGCGGAACUACAAGUGUAGAGGUGAAAUUCGUAGAUAUUUGUAGGAAUGCCGAUGGGGAAGCCAGCUUACUGGACAGAUACUGACGCUGAAGCGCGAAAGCGUGGGUAGCAAACAGG